GCAAAAACACACUGUAAAUUGUAAAAACACUACACAUUGUAACACACUGAACACAUAGUGUAAAAACACUACACUGUGGUGUAAUAACUCUCCAAAUUUGAUGUUGAACAACUCUCAAAAAAUUAUAACAAGGAACACUUUUUUUCAAAUUAUCCCCAAAUCGAGCUUUCGUAUUCAAUUUAAAUGACGUAUGAAAGCUCUAAACACCUCAAAUGCAAAAGGUUUAUACUUAAAUCACGCGCCUUCACGUUAAAUAUUUUUGUUUCCGAAAACUCCAAUACUGCCCCGUUUCGGACAUUGUCGAAUGUUUCGAAUCCAUUACGAGCAAGCGAGUGCUUGUUGUUGUCUGCUUUUCAUCUUCAAAAACUAAAGUUCGUCAUUAUACCAUAAUCAUCAUUCAAGAAAAGGCUCGCUAAUUAGG